AACACUUCUUCGGGCAUCCGAAGAGGUUGAAAGCUCCGGCGGUGAAGGAUGAGCCCGCGGCCUAUCAGCUUGUUGGUGGGGUAGUGGCCCACCAAGGCGACGACGGGUAGCCGGCCUGAGAGGGCGACCGGCCACACUGGGACUGAGACACGGCCCAGACUCCUACGGGAGGCAGCAGUGGGGAAUAUUGCACAAUGGGCGAAAGCCUGAUGCAGCGACGCCGCGUGAGGGAUGACGGCCUUCGGGUUGUAAACCUCUUUCAGCAGGGAAGAAGCGCAAGUGACGGUACCUGCAGAAGAAGCGCCGGCUAACUACGUGCUUUUUAUUUCGCGGUAAUACGUAGGGCGCAAGCGUUGUCCGGAAUUAUUGGGCGUAAAGAGCUCGUAGGCGGCCUGUCGCGUCGGAUGUGAAAGCCCGGGGCUUAACCCCGGGUCUGCAUUCGAUACGGGCAGGCUAGAGUGUGGUAGGGGAGAUCGGAAUUCCUGGUGUAGCGGUGAAAUGCGCAGAUAUCAGGAGGAACACCGGUGGCGAAGGCGGAUCUCUGGGCCAUUACUGACGCUGAGGAGCGAAAGCGUGGGGAGCGAACAGGAUUAGAUACCCUGGUAGUCCACGCCGUAAACGUUGGGAACUAGGUGUUGGCGACAUUCCACGUCGUC
rnacentral:rRNA from 1 species